rnacentral:rRNA from 1 species
AUUGAACGCUAGCGGCAUGCCUAACACAUGCAAGUCGUACGGCAGCACGAGGAGCUUGCUCCUUGGUGGCGAGUGGCGGACGGGUGAGUAACGCGUAGGAAUCUGCCUUGUAGCGGGGGACAACCCGGGGAAACUCGGGCUAAUACCGCAUAAUGUCUUCGGACCAAAGUUGGGGACCUUCGGGCCUAACACUACAAGAUGAGCCUGCGUUGGAUUAGCGAGUUGGUGGGGUAAAGGCCUACCAAGGCAACGAUCCAUAGCUGGUCUGAGAGGACGACCAGCCACACUGGGACUGAGACACGGCCCAGACUCCUACGGGAGGCAGCAGUGGGGAAUAUUGGACAAUGGGCGAAAGCCUGAUCCAGCAAUGCCGCGUGUGUGAAGAAGGCCUUCGGGUUGUAAAGCACUUUCGUUGGGGAAGAAAAAGCCAAAGUUAAUAUCUUUGGAAAUUGACGUUACCCAAAGAAGAAGCACUGGCUAACUCUGUGCCAGCAGCCGCCGUAA